rnacentral:tRNA from 1 species
ACCUAGCUAGCUCAGUUGGUAGAGCGUGUGACUCUUGAUCUCGGGGUCAUGAGUCAAGCCCCAGGCUGGGUA